rnacentral:rRNA from 1 species
UGGGGAAUAUUGCACAAUGGAGGGAACUCUGAUGCAGCGACGCCGCGUGAACGAAGAAGGCUUUCGAGUCGUAAAGUUCUUUUAUAUGGGAAGAUAAUGACGGUACCAUAAGAAAAAGCCCCGGCUAACUACGUGCCAGCAGCCGCGGUAAUCCGUAGGGGGCUAGCGUUGUCCGGAAUCACUGGGCGUAAAGGGUUCGCAGGCGGAAAUGCAAGUCAGGUGUAAAAGGCAGUAGCUUAACUACUGUAAGCAUUUGAAACUGCAUAUCUUGAGAAGAGUAGAGGUAAGUUGAAUUUUUAGUGUAGCGGUGAAAUGCGUAGAUAUUAAAAAGAAUACCGGUGGCGAAGGCGACUUACUGGGCUCAUUCUGACGCUGAGGAACGAAAGCGUGGGUAGCAAACAGG